CGGAAGUUUCAGUGAUAGUGUGUGUGUUGGUGCCUUUGGACAGAUCACUGGAAAUAUGGAGGAGGACCUGGACUCCAGGAUGCAGUGCAUCCAGUUCUAGCUAAAAAUGGAUGCUGUGGCCAAUCGAAAAAACAGUUGACCGGAAGUUCCAGCGAAUGAUUGUGUGUGUUGGUGUUUUUGGACAGAUCACUGGAUAUGUAUGGAUAAAUAUGGAGCUUUUGUUAUGUUUGCUGGAUAUAUAUAUAUAUAUAUAUAUAUAUAUGGGGAAAGUCGUCGUUCAAGACUCCAGAGCAUGGAAAACUUCUUCAGUGUCUCUGUGAAACGCUGCCAAGUUGCUGUCAUGUUAAUCAUGUUGUCAAUAGCCCCAAGGCCUAUGCAAAAAAAUCUGUGCGUACUUAUCGGACAAUUAAAAGCAUUGGUUAAUCCAUUAUUAUUAUGCAACUCUUAUAUGUACACAAAGAUAUAUUACAGAUU